rnacentral:lncRNA from 1 species
GUUACUCCCUGACCCUUGUCCUCAUUUUACUCCUGACCUGUCCUCCAUGUACUCCUGACCUCGUCCUCCAUGUUACUCACUGACCUGUCCUCCUGUGUUACUCCCUGACCUUGCCUUCCAUGUUACUCCCUGACCUGCUCCUCCAUGUUACUCCCUGACCUGUCCUCCCUUUUACUCCUGACUGUCCUCCAUGUCUACUCCCUGACCUGUCCUCCCUGUUACUCCACUGACCUGUCCUCCUGUUACUCCCUGACUGUCCUCCAUUUACACUGACUUUCUCCCUGUUUACUCCUCCUCCUACCUGUUCUCCAUGUUACUCCCUGCCCUGUCCUCCUGUUCUCCUGACCUGUCCUCCGUUAUCCGACCUUCUCUCCCUGUUACUCUGACCUGUCCUUCCAUGUUACUCCCUGACCUUCCUCCCAUGUUACUCCCUGACCUGUCCUCCCCUGUUACUCCCUGACCUUUCCUCCCUGUACUCCCUGACCUGUCUCCAUAUUAUCCCCUGACUGUCCUCCUGUUCCCCUGACCUGUCCUCCAUGUUACUCCCUGACCUGUCCUCACUGUUACUCCCUGACCUGUCCUCCAUGUUACCUCCCUGACCUGUCCUCCAUGUUACUCCCUUGACCUGUCCUCAUGUUACUCCCUUGAUCUGUCUCCAUGUUACUCCCUGACCUGUCCCCCUGUUACUCCCUGACUGUCCUCCUGUUACUCCCGACCUGUCCCCCCUGUACUCCUGACCUGCCCUCCAUGUUACUCCCUGACCUGUCCUCCAUGUUACUCCCUGACCUGUCCCCAUGUACUCCCUGACCUGUCCCCCAUGUUACUCCUGACCUGUCCUCCUGUUACUCCCUGGACCUGUCCCCUCCAUGUUACUCCCUGACCUGUCCUCCGUGUUACUCCCCUGACCUGUCUCCAUGUUACUCCUGACCUGUCCUCCUGUACUCCCGACCCUGUCCCCAUGUUUCCUCCUGACUGCUCCUGUACUCCCUGACUGUCCCCCAUGUUACUCCCUGACCUGUCCUCCCUGUUACUCCUGACCUGCCCUCCAUGUUACACCUGACCUGCCUCCAUUUUACACCCUGACCUGUCCUCCCUGUUACUCCCUGACCUGUCCCCCUGACUCCCUGACCUCGUCCGCUGUUUACCUCCUUGA